AAGUCGUAACAAGGUCUCCGUAGGUGAACCUGCGGAGGGAUCAUUAACACGUUUAACAUAAACGUUUCAAACCAAACACCGUGAACUUGUAAAUAACUCCCUUUACAGUUGACGAACAAUCUUAGCCAGGGUGGAUUGUCGGAACAAGAGAAACAACCUGUGAAAAUAGGCUUCUCCUCCGACUCUGCUGGUUGUUCUAGGGCUCUCGAAGCUCAAUCAACUGUGAAGCGUCUUUGCGACCACCUGGCAGACUGCAUUCCAUAAUCUUUCGGGGUUUUGGUCUAAGCAGCGUCUGCCGAAACCUAUUUCACCAAAUUUUUAACCCCUUUAAAACAAAAACAAACUGAACCUAUUUUUUUAUCUGCGUCUUAAUUGACGUGAUGAAAAAUGAUAUACGUAAUGCUGAACAACUCUUAGCAAUGGAUAUCUUGGUUCUC
rnacentral:misc_RNA from 1 species